AUGUAGGGCAAUCUGCCUUUAAGAAGGGGUAAAUUACUCUUUAAAAAAAAUCCUAGAUAGUUUUCCCUUCAAGUCAAGUGUCUUGU
rnacentral:pre_miRNA from 1 species